rnacentral:misc_RNA from 1 species
AAGUCGUAACAAGGUUUCCGUAGGUGAACCUGCGGAAGGAUCAUUAAUACGUCUAAACAACGUUUUAAACCUUUCAAAUUUGUGGAAAUUCUUACCAUUCCGGGUGCAUCUCUUUGGCAUGAGAAGGGACUUCUUGUUAUGAGACACUUCAGUGUAGAGCAGUGAGGUGAAAUCUGAGCUUUUGAUGGCUUGGAUUUGGUUCUGGAUCACGACUCUUUGGUGACAGAGAGUCAAAUGCUGAAUGCAUUCGGUUAUUACUGUUCUACAUUUUAUUCUAUCAAACUUAUAAACCCCAUGUACAACAACUUGAACUAAACAUCUCUUCUGAUCACAUUGACUUGUGUGAUGAAGAACAAAUCUGAAAUUAAGAACAACUCUUAACAACGGAUAUCUUGGUUCUC